AGAUUGAACGCUGGCGGCAUGCUUUACACAUGCAAGUCGAACGGUAACAGGCCGCAAGGUGCUGACGAGUGGCGAACGGGUGAGUAAUGUGUCGGAACGUGCCCAGUCGUGGGGGAUAACGCAGCGAAAGCUGCGCUAAUACCGCAUACGAUCUAUGGAUGAAAGCGGGGGACCGUAAGGCCUCGCGCGAUUGGAGCGGCCGAUAUCAGAUUAGGUAGUUGGUGGGGUAAAGGCUCACCAAGCCAACGAUCUGUAGCUGGUCUGAGAGGACGACCAGCCACACUGGGACUGAGACACGGCCCAGACUCCGUACGGGAGCAGCGAGGUGGGGAAUUUGGACAAGUGGCGCAAGCCUGAUCCAGCAAUCGCCGCGUGCGAAGG
rnacentral:rRNA from 1 species